rnacentral:misc_RNA from 1 species
UUGUGGAGGAGGACGCCGAAGGUGGGGCUAAUGACUGGGGUGAAGUCGUAACAAGGUAGCCGUACCGGAAGGUGCGGCUGGAUCACCUCCUAACAGGGAGACAACAAAAUGUUUAAUAUUAUUAUUUUGUUACCUUAGGUCGAUCGGUAUCUCACAUUCUUAAUUUAUUAAGGAUUUCAUUCCCUAAGUUUUUCUAGGUCACACCCAUUAUUUUUCCUGGGCCAUUAGCUCAGGUGGUUAGAGCGCACCCCUGAUAAGGGUGAGGUCCCUGGUUCAAGUCCAGGAUGGCCCAUCUCUCUAUGUUGGGGGUAUAGCUCAGUUGGUAGAGCGCCUGCUUUGCAAGCAGGAUGUCAGCGGUUCGAGUCCGCUUACCUCCACUGAUUGCCACCUCUUCCAUAAUCUGUAGAAAGGAAAUUUUUUGAGUUGUGAUCAAAUUCUGAACGAAUCUAGCUUCCUAAUGCAACCAUUAAGAUGCUGGACUCAUUGAAUUAAUUUCAUUGUUUUCAGAGAACCUUGACAACUGCAUAGAUUAUUUUUAAAGACAAUUAGCAUCUUUUAAUGAUGCAGAUUUAUUAUUUGUGUAAAUACACUAAUAACAAUUCUAUUAAGCUGAUGCUUCAAUUUUGAAGUUAUUGGUCAAGCUACAA